AGUGAACGCUGGCGGUAGGCCUAACACAUGCAAGUCGAACGGCAGCACAGUAAGAGCUUGCUCUUACGGGUGGCGAGUGGCGGACGGGUUAGGAAUACAUCUGAAUCUACUUUUUCGUGGGGGAUAACGUAGGGAAACUUACGCUAAUACCGCAUACGACCUACGGGUGAAAGCAGUUGAUCUUCGGACCUUGCGCGAUUGAAUGAGCCGAUGUCGGAUUAGCUAGUUGGCGGGGUAAAGGCCCACCAAGGCGACGAUCCGUAGCUGGUCUGAGAGGAUGAUCAGCCACACUGGAACUGAGACACGGUCCAGACUCCUACGGGAGGCAGCAGUGGGGAAUAUUGGACAAUGGGCGCAAGCCUGAUCCAGCCAUACCGCGUGGGUGAAGAAGGCCUUCGGGUUGUAAAGCCCUUUUGUUGGGAAAGAAAAGCAGCAGGUUAAUACCCCGCUGUUCUGACGGUACCCAAAGAAUAAGCACCGGCUAACUUCGUG
rnacentral:rRNA from 1 species